UGAGGAACAUGACCUUCGGCGGGGGAUAGCCGGCCCAACGGCCGGGUAAUACCGCGUACGACCUUUCGGGGACAUCCCUGGAUGGUGAGAGCAGCAAUGCGCCGAUGGAGUGCCUCGCGGCCUACCAGCUAGUUGGUGAGGUAACGGCUCACCAAGGCAACGACGGGUAGCUGGUCUGAGAGGAUGGCCAGCCACAUUGGGACUGAGACACGGCCCAGACUCCUACGGGAGCAG
rnacentral:rRNA from 1 species